CGGCAGUGCAGGGCGGGGUGGUGGUCCGACGCUGUGGCUCCGAUGGGCAAUGGGUGACGGACGGCAGCGGGAGGCCCUGGAGGGAUCAUUCGCAGUGCGAAGACACGGAGCAGGAGACGCCGCUGCAGCGGCAGGCCUGGCUGCUGGAGCAGUUCCGCCUGGUUUACACCGUGGGUUACUCCGUGUCCCUGGUCUCCCUGCUCCUCGCCCUCCUCCUGCUGCUGCUCUUCAGGCGCCUGCGGUGCACCCGUAAUUACAUCCAUGCCAACCUGUUCCUCUCCUUCGUGUUGCGGGCGGGCGCCAUUUUGACACGGGAUGCUUUGCUGCACCGCCACCUGCGACCCGGGACCACAGACCCACUGCAGGUCCUGAGCCAGGAGGU